AGUCAGUGACAGAAACACUAAACAAUGCCGGUGCUUUUUCAAGUCUGGCAAGUGGUAUGAGAACAAAUCUCAAUCCCUUAUCGAGGUAUCAAUAGAGUGCGAGUAUGGUGCGAGCAGCAUGCUGUAAUUCCAGCUCCAAUAGCGUAUAUUUAAGUUGUAGCAGAUACAACGCUAGCAGUUGGAUUUGCGGUGUGUCGGUCGACCUGAAUCCGAAAGGGUUCGUUGUUAGUACACGCCUGGCCAUCCUCGGGGGAAGCUUUGCUGGCAUUUAGUAGUCGGCGGAGUGACGCUCGUCAAGGUCUGAGACCAAUUUAGAGUGUUCAAAGCAGGCUUAGCCCGUCGAAUACAUUAGCAUGGCAUAAUGAGAUAGGAAAAUGGUGGUCUAUUUUUUCGGUUCCCACGCAGAAGUAACGAGUUAUAGGGGCGGUUGGGGGUAUUCGUAUUCAACCGUCAGAGGUGAAAUUCUUGGAUUUAUGGAAGCCGAACUAAUUCGAAAGCAUUUAUCAAGGACGUCAUCAUUAAUCAAGAACGAAAGUGAGGGGAUAGAAGAAGAUGAGAUACCCUGGUAGUCUUACCCAUAAAUUAUCCUGAAUAGGGAUUGGCGGUUGUCAUUUCAGGCUCCGUCAGCAAAAUGCCCAAAUCAAAGUUUAUUGUCACUACCUGGAGGUGUCAGGCAAGGGUAAAAUUUGAACAAAUUGCCGGAAGGGCACCACGUAGAGUUUCUCAGGCUCCCUCUCCGGAUUAGCACCC
rnacentral:rRNA from 1 species